rnacentral:misc_RNA from 1 species
AAGUCGUAACAAGGUUACCGUAGGUGAACCUGCGGUAGGGAUCAUUAAAGAGAUAGGGGUUCUUACGAGCCCGACCUCCAACCCUUUGUUACCAAACCUCUGUUGCCUCGGCGGGCCGCCGGCGCCCUUAACUAGGUGCCGCCUUGGCCUCUGCGCUCUCGAGUGCCCGCCGCAGGACUAUACAAAACCUUUUGCAUUUGAAAGCAGUAUAAAUUCUGAGUGGAUAUUUAAUGCUUCAAUUAAAA